rnacentral:rRNA from 1 species
AUUGAACGCUGGCGGCAGGCUUAACACAUGCAAGUCGAGCGGAGUGAUGGUGCUUGCACUAUCACUUAGCGGCGGACGGGUGAGUAAUGCUUAGGAAUCUGCCUAUUAGUGGGGGACAACAUCUCGAAAGGGAUGCUAAUACCGCAUACGUCCUACGGGAGAAAGCAGGGGAUCACUUGUGACCUUGCGCUAAUAGAUGAGCCUAAGUCGGAUUAGCUAGUUGGUGGGGUAAAGGCCUACCAAGGCGACGAUCUGUAGCGGGUCUGAGAGGAUGAUCCGCCACACUGGGACUGAGACACGGCCCAGACUCCUACGGGAGGCAGCAGUGGGGAAUAUUGGACAAUGGGGGGAACCCUGAUCCAGCCAUGCCGCGUGUGUGAAGAAGGCCUUAUGGUUGUAAAGCACUUUAAGCGAGGAGGAGGCUCUUCUGGUUAAUACCCAGGAUGAGUGGACGUUACUCGCAGAAUAAGCACCGGCUAACUCUGUGCCAGCAGCAGCCGCAGUAA